rnacentral:rRNA from 1 species
UACGGGGGGAGCAAACGUUAUCCGGAUUCACUGGGUUUAAAGGGUGCGUAGGUGGGCAGAUAAGUCAGUGGUGAAAUCUCCGGGCUUAACCCGGAAACUGCCAUUGAUGCUAUUUGUCUUGAAUUCUCUGGAGGUAAGCGGAAUAUGUCAUGUAGCGGUGAAAUGCUUAGAUAUGACAUAGAACACCCAUUGGGAAGGCAGCUUACUACGGAGACAUUGACACUGAGGCACGAAAGCGUGGGGAUCAAACAGG